rnacentral:lncRNA from 1 species
GAGGACUGGGGCAGGGUGCUGGCACCUUAGGUGCAGUUGGGUGAUAAGAGGUUAGCUAUGGAGAAUUGGUAGUACAGGACUCACAGGUAGGAGCCGCCAAGAAUGCCUGCAGUUCCCUUCUAUCCCAGAAGGUGGCAGAAUGGUGCCUCCUGGGUUAUGGAAAGCUUGUGUCUACUCUGCCUCAAUUUCCCCACCUGAAAACUUGGGACAUAUCUCCUAGGAAAAUGAAUGGAGAGACAGCUGCAAACCUAGAAGGGUUUGUUAAGAGUAAUGCCCCAGCAGCAUGGGGUCUCUCGUGACAGUAGAGACCUGUUCCUGUGGCUCUGUGGUGGCCAUGCCCAGUGCCCACCCCCCUUCCUACCGUAUAGCCCAGCAUCAGCUGCCUCUUUGCUCCUUCGAACUCCAGCUUUGUUGGGCUUCUUUUUCACAGCCUGGGAAAGUUCUAGAGUCUUCCCCUUACCUGUAGAAACCUCAGAGACCACUUCCCCGUCCCCCAGCUUCCCUUUGGCUGGGAUCCUGUUCUGGUCCUUCAACUUACUGAGCCUGUGACACAACACCAUGAUUGGACUUACCCCUUCUUCAGUGUCCGUGCCCAUCCCAUCACCCCACUGCCUCCCAACCCCCGGAGCAGGGCCCAAAAUCAAACAGCUGUGUCCUUUCUACAGGGCCUUGGUCCAUCUUUUGAAGACAGUUCCCCACACAGAGGCAGACUAAGGGGACAGUCUGCUAAUGUGAUCCCCUUUCCUUCCUGUGACAAUGCCAUCCUUCAGGGAAAGGAGGUGAGGCUCAGUGAUCCCCAGCUUCCUAGGGGAUCCAGUUCCUCUGUGUCCUUUCCAGGAACCGUUCUGUGAUGGUAAGGCUACCACUUCUGCUGGUGGGAGACGAGCCCCUGGAUGUGGCCCAGGUGGUCAGUUACCUGGUGGAGGAGAAACUCCUGCGGCCACUCCGCAGGCUGUAUGAGGCUAACAUGCUGGCUGAGUUCUAUGGGUUCCAGCGGCGUCUACUGAGGAGCCCCUUCAAGCAAUACGCCGUGGUGGUGGGCACCAGAUACCUGGUGACCUUUGAUGGGCAGGUGUGGGGCCUGGGUCCCUGCUGUGGCAGCUUCCUGCUAGCCAAGGACUUCACUCACCAAACAUUCUCUCUGAUGCUGAGCCGCACAAGCUCAGGCUUCACGGCCCUUCAUGUGGAGCUGAACCACACAACCCUCGUUCUGUAUCCUAGCCUAAAGGCUUACAAGCAGUACGACACUGCCUGGCCUCAGGACAGCUGCUGGGAUUUAGACCCACCUCCUGCUAUGUUGAGCACUGGACCCAAGGUUGAGCUGAGCAGCGAGGAUGGUGUGUCUGUCUUCUGUGAUGUGCCAGCAGGCCUCUGCAGCCUGACGCUGAGCCUGUGGCACCAUGGUGGGUCGGAGUUUGGUGCUACCCACAAGGGCCUUUUCUAG